rnacentral:misc_RNA from 1 species
GAUGAAGAACGUAGCGAAAUGCGAUAAGUAAUGUGAAUUGCAGAAUUCAGUGAAUCAUCGAAUCUUUGAACGCACAUUGCGCCCCCCAGUAUUCUGGCGGGCAUGCCUGUUCGAGCGUCAUUUCAACCAUCAAGCCCUGCUUGUGUUGGGGUCCUGCGGCUGCCCGCAGGCCCUGAAAACCAGUGGCGGGCUCGCUAGUCACACCGAGCGCAGUAGCACAUCUCGCUCAGGGCGUGCGGCGGGCUCCAGCCGUUAAAGCACCCACCUUUCGCAAGGUUGACCUCGGAUCAGGUAGGAAUACCCGCUGAACUUAAGCAUAUCAAUAAGCGGAAGGA